UCAAACUUGGUCAUUUAAGAGGAAGUAAAAGUCGUAACAAGGUAACCGUAGGUGAACCUGCGGUUGGAUCAUUAGAAGAACCGGAUAGGUGUUGGUUUUAUAUCGAUUGGAAGGUACCGAUAAAAAGGUACAAGAAAUAAAAACGCCCCCUUUUUUGGGGAACUGUUUUUUUAUGGGGAUAUAUAUGUUGACGGUUUUUUUGAUUACAGAGAAAGGAUAUAUAACCAUGAAACCAUAAUGGCCAUAUGGUUUAUAUUUGUGGUUUUUUAUAUUCAUUCGAGUUUUUUGAUAACCGUCAAAAGAGAACAAUACCCAAGAGAGAUUAUUCUUUAUUGUCCAAAAAAAGGUAUAUAAAUAACCCUUUUAAAAACAAAAAUUUAAAAACAACUUUUGACAAUGGAUCUCUUGGCUCUCGCAUCGAUGAAGAACGCAGC
rnacentral:misc_RNA from 1 species